UACGUAGGGUCCGAGCGUUGCCCGGAAUUAUUGGGCGUAAAGGGCUCGUAGGCGGUCUGUUGCGUCGGGUGUGAAAACUUACAGCUUAACUGUGAGCGUGCUUUCGAUACGGGCAGACUUGAGGCAUUCAGGGGAGAACGGAAUUCCUGGUGUAGCGGUGAAAUGCGCAGAUAUCAGGAGGAACACCGGUGGCGAAGGCGGCCGUCUGGACAAUGGCUGACGCUAAAACACGAAAGCGUGGGGAGCAAGCAGG
rnacentral:rRNA from 1 species